GCUGUGUGGGGAAGAAGGCUCUUGCCCUGCUAGUUAUAAUGAAUUCAAUGGCUGUGUUUUAUUUUAGCUUAACGGGACACUGUGCAAGGCUUUUAGAAAUUUAGUGGCACGUAUGAAUGCCAUCAGGCCGUUAGGACACCAUUUGCCUAGCAAAUACAGUAUCUCCCUGGAUGCUGCUGAGGGUGGCAGCUCCCUGCUGCUGGCGCCAGCUCUGUUGUCAGCUCCACGAAGCCAUCAGACAGUUCCAGCUGCUUACUUUUUUCCACGUGCUGUUAAUAAUUCUGUCGGCCGGGAAAGCCACGUUUUGAUUUUAUCUGCACUCCAGACAGUUCAUGGAGAAAAAAGAUUAUAUAGGGAUUGCUUAAAUGUAUUCUCUUAGAUGCUAAGGAUGCCUUGUCAGUGUCUGUACCUGAUGCUUAAUUAACAAAGAGAGAGUUUUCUUUCCCUUGUCCUGAGACGUCUGCGUGUGACACCUGCCAUUCUUAUCAGAAGGGUGGAUGAGGCUGCAGGAAGUGCAAAAUAUCCUCUGUAACACUGGAGAAGACAAAGAGGAAAUUGAGAUAAGGGAAUUGCUAUGAAUCACUUGUGGAGAUGGUGAAACAUCAAGAUUGCAUGAGAUACCAAUUCAGUGCUUCACGUGUUGGUCAGGAAUCCACUCAAGGAAAAAUAUUGCUGUUCUGUAUUUGGAAUCCCUGUUCUUAUGUUUUGAGUGAGUUCCGGUGAGGUUUUACAGCAAGGAGAUUUGAAAUCUGCCAUACAGCUAAGCUUCACUUUGGAUCUGCCCAUUUUACUCUCAUUCUGCUUUAUGCACUGAACAGAGUAAGAGCAGGCUCUUUUCACUUACUGUUUCCCCAGUUUCUGGCUGUUCUUCGAAGUGCUCUGCCUUUUGUGCUCUUAAAAAGGCAGUGAGCAUCCUGGAGCAGCCAGGUCUCCCAAGUGCACCUCUAUGCCUCUGUCUUCGUCACAGGCUGCUUUCAUCUGCCAGAGUCCCUUUGCCUUUCAUUAGCUAUUCAGCCUAGCUCUUCACUGUAAAGCCUGUCAAGAUUUGUGUUUAUGAUUAAAAUUACACACUGAGAAAUGUGUGGGAGUAAAGGGAUUAGGGAAACAGUUGCAGCAAUUAAAAAAAAAAAAAAACCCAAAAGAGAAAGCACGAGGAAGGGACUUCCACACCUGUUUCACGUUUCUACCCCAUUGCUUUGCUUUGUAUGCUCUUGCUUGGAUGUUUCUGGGACCUGUGUGAUUUUCGUGCUGGUGUCUUAGCUGCGUGCAUGCACUUUGUUCUUCUCUGGGGUAAUUGGGACAGGCUCCUAGGCUGGACCUUUGUCCCAUCAAGUGCUAUGUGUCUGCACGGCAAAGAUGCAGCAAAGCUGAUAUUUCCUUGAUGUAUGUCAGAACUGCCCUCCAGAAGUAAGAAGAGGCGGAAGGGGCUUUCCACCUCUUCAUUUAAUCUCAGUACACUGCUUAAAUGCGUCUCUGUGUGGGAGUUUAAGACACAGCAGUAAGAUGCAGCUGGCUGGGUUGUGUUGUUUUGGGGUUUCUUUUUUUAAUUGUUUAGUUUUGUUUUUGUGGCUUUAGGGUUGGAUGGAUAGCUUCUUUGAAAUGCCAUUCUGAUGGAAAACAAGGCAGGUGCCUUACUGCUGUCACCAGGUGAGGGCCUCUCAUAUGACUGCUUGCCAGACAGAGAAAAUCACUUCAUUAGAUAGUGAUAUUUUUCUUUAAUAUAAUCCUCUUACAGAUGGGUUUUGAGCUUAAAAUACACCAUGGCCAAUAUUCUUUGUACUCUCUUCUCCUGUACUAGAGCAGUAUUUGCAGAGUUUUCAUAUUUCUGCUAAUUUGGAGCCUCUUUUCUGAAGCUUCUCAUUGGAAAUGAUGCAGAUUUAAACACUUUGCACUGGAAUUUAAGGAAAGCAUGUAACUGGACUAUAGAUAUGCC
ensembl:lncRNA